UACAGAGGUCUCAAGCGUUGUUCGGAUUCAUUGGGCGUAAAGGGUGCGUAGGCGGCGCGGUAAGUCGGGUGUGAAAUCUGGAGCUUAACUCCGAAACUGCAUUCGAUACUGCCGUGCUUGAGGACUGGAGAGGAGACUGGAAUUUACGGUGUAGCGGUGAAAUGCGUAGAUAUCGUAAGGAAGACCAGUGGCGAAGGCGGGUCUCUGGACAGUUCCUGACGCUGAGCACGAAGGCCAGGGGAGCAAACGGG
rnacentral:rRNA from 1 species